rnacentral:rRNA from 1 species
GCUGGUGAUUUAGCCGGAUGUGUCCCACCUCUUCCCAUUCCGAACAGAGAAGUGAAAGCAUCUGGCCCCAAUGAUACUUGCGUUUCGGCGCUGGGAAAGUAGGGUUCGCCAGCC